rnacentral:rRNA from 1 species
AUUGAACGCUGGCGGCAUGCCUAACACAUGCAAGUCGAACGAGUGGCGGACGGGUGAGUAAUGUCUGGGAAACUGCCCGAUGGAGGGGGAUAACUACUGGAAACGGUAGCUAAUACCGCAUACCAUCGGAUGUGCCCCGAUGGGAUUGGCUAGUAGGUGGGGUAACGGCUCACCUAGGCGACGAUCCCUAGCUGGUCUGAGAGGAGGACCAGCCACACUGGAACGGAGACACGGCCAAGACGCCUACGGGAGGCAGCAGUGGGGAAGAGGGCACAAGGGGCGCAAGCCUGACGCAGCGAUGCCGCGUGUAUGAAGAAGGCGUUGGGGUUGUAAAGGACUUUCAGCGAGGAGGCGGUACUCGCAGAAGAAGCACCGGCUAACUCCGUGCCAGCCGCCGCGGUAAUAC